CCUUCGGGUGGCAGCAGUGGGGAAUAUUGGGCAAUGGGCGCAAGCCUGACCCAGCAACGCCGCGUGAAGGAAGAAGGCUUUCGGGUUGUAAACUUCUUUUGACAGGGAAGAGCAGAAGACGGUACCUGUCGAAUAAGCCACGGCUAACUACGUGCCAGCAGCCGCGGUAAUACGUAGGUGGCAAGCGUUGUCCGGAUUUACUGGGUGUAAAGGGCGUGUAGCCGGGCUGACAAGUCAGAUGUGAAAUCCGGGGGCUCAACCCCCGAACUGCAUUUGAAACUGUUGGUCUUGAGUGUCGGAGAGGUAAUCGGAAUUCCUUGUGUAGCGGUGAAAUGCGUAGAUAUAAGGAAGAACACCAGUGGCGAAGGCGGAUUACUGGACGAUAACUGACGGUGAGGCGCGAAAGCGUGGGGAGCAAACAGGAUUAGAUACCCCAGUAGUC
rnacentral:rRNA from 1 species